rnacentral:tRNA from 1 species
GGGCGAGUAGAUCAGUUUGGAAUGAUCGCAGCGUUGGCAUCGCUGAGGUCGAGGGUUCAAAUCCCUCCUCGUCCA